CGCAUCUGUGCAUGCAGCAUAUCAAUAAGCGGAGGAAAAGAAACUAACAAGGAUUCCCCUAGUAACGGCGAGUGAAGCGGGAAGAGCUCAAAUUUGAAAUCUUAAAGGGUUUCCCUUUACGAAUUGUAGUUUAAAGAAGUGUUUUCUGUUGAGGUUUUGGUAAAAGUUCUUUGGAAUAGGACAUCAUAGAGGGUGAGAAUCCCGUAUUUGACCUUUACUUUCAACUUUGUGAUACACUUUCAAAGAGUCGGAUUGUUUGGGAAUGCAGUCCAAAAUGGGUGGUAAAUUUCAUCUAAAGCUAAAUAUUGGCGAGAGACCGAUAGCGAACAAGUACCGUGAGGGAAAGAUGAAAAGAACUUUGAAAAGAGAGUUAAACAGUACGUGAAGUUGUCAAAAGGGAAGCGUUUGACACCAGUGUUGUUUUUCUGAAAAUCAAUUAAAGAACUGUUUAUGCUAAGCUGUUUAGACUUUAUCAGCUAACUGUUUAGUUUUGAGCUUUUCUUUAAUGCACUUUUCAGUUAACAAGUCAACAUCAAUUUCUUUUGCUGUAAAAAAGCUUGAGGAAGGUGGCUUGAGAUUCGUCUUAAGUGUUUAUAGCCUCUUGCCUAUGCAGUCGGAGAGAUUGAGGUCUGCAGCGUAGAUCCUUCGGGGCUAAAUGCAUUUGUGCUAAGUUAUAGCAUUUUAUAGACAACUUGUUGACUAUGAUUUGUCUUGUAGCUUACUCGCUUAUGUUAUUUUACCUACGCUUAGGAUGUUGACUGAUAUGUAGUCGUA
rnacentral:rRNA from 1 species